rnacentral:rRNA from 1 species
UACAGAGGGUGCAAGCGUUAAUCGGAAUUACUGGGCGUAAAGCGUGCGUAGACGGUUAUGUAAGUCGGGUGUGAAAACCCGGGGCUCAACCCCGGGCCUGCAGCCGAUACGGGCAGACUAGAGUUCGGCAGGGGAGACUGGAAUUCCUGGUGUAGCGGUGAAAUGCGCAGAUAUCAGGAGGAACACCGGUGGCGAAAGCGGCUUCCUGGUCCGACACCGACGUUCAGGCACGAAAGCGUGGGGAGCAAACAGG